rnacentral:rRNA from 1 species
CCUACGGGAGGCAGCAGUGAGGAAUAUUGGUCAAUGGACGAGAGUCUGAACCAGCCAAGUAGCGUGAAGGAUGACUGCCCUAUGGGUUGUAAACUUCUUUUAUAUGGGAAUAAAAUGUUCCACGUGUGGGAUUUUGUAUGUACCAUAUGAAUAAGGAUCGGCUAACUCCGUGCCAGCAGCCGCGGUAAUACGGAGGAUCCGAGCGUUAUCCGGAUUUAUUGGGUUUAAAGGGAGCGUAGGUGGAUUGUUAAGUCAGUUGUGAAAGUUUGCGGCUCAACCGUAAAAUUGCAGUUGAAACUGGCAGUCUUGAGUACAGUAGAGGUGGGCGGAAUUCGUGGUGUAGCGGUGAAAUGCUUAGAUAUCACGAAGAACUCCGAUUGCGAAGGCAGUUCACUAGACUGCAACUGACACUGAGGCUCGAAAGUGUGGGUAUCAAACAGGAUUAGAUACCCGUGUAGUC